rnacentral:tRNA from 1 species
GCGCAGGUGGUGGAAUUGGCAUACACGAGGGACUUAAAAUCCCUUGCUUGAAAAAGCUUGCGGGUUCAAGUCCCGCCCUGCGCACCA